rnacentral:lncRNA from 1 species
AUCUUCUGUCUUUCAGUUAAAUUCUUCUCAGAUUGGAAGCUACGCUCAGUCAAAAUCUUAUCCAAAUGAAAAUUUUUAAGUUGAUCAGCCCAUUUCACAGUCUAGACAAAGAAAUUUUGGUGUGAUUGCUAGAGACACUAUCUCCUUAAUAGUGAGGCAUCAUUUUGUAGAUUUCAAAAAAUUAUCCAAUCUAAAAAAAAGGAUCAUCAAAAUUAGACAUCAAAUGAUCAAGUUACAGUCUUCGAAGGUUUAGCUUGCAACUUGACUUCCAGAUAUGGUGCAUCUUACUCCUAGACCCAAUCCAGCC